rnacentral:rRNA from 2 species
UGGUGACUAUAGCAAGGAGGUCACACCUGUUCCCAUGCCGAACACAGAAGUUAAGCUCCUUAGCGUCGAUGGUAGUCGAACUUACGUUCCGCUAGA